UGCUGACAACCAAAUCCAGCAUUAGCCAUAAUGGACAAUUAGAACCAUCAACUAGAUGUUUCCAAGGCAACGUAAGAACAAUACGCUCAGAGCUCCGCGGAAGAAGAAUUAACUUCAGCUCAUCAGAACUAACCGUCCCGCCGGUGAUUCUGAACGUGGAAGACAGCGAUUUUGCAGGACAAAAUGGCCACCGUCUUCUCCUUAUAAGUUGGAAUUAUCCCUCCAGAGAGCUGGUGAAAGGCUACAGCGUGAAGGUGGAGAAGGCCUCUGGAGAGGGUCCCAGCGAUCGUAUCCCCACGGACCAAAUGGAGUUGAGGCUGAUUGUGUCUUACUCCGCCUACCAGCUGCAGAUCACCGCCUCUAACAACUUCAGCACAUCCCCCGCAGCCCACCGGACCGUACCUGCACGCAGAUACAGGGACGGUGCAGGCGGGAGGCUGAACGUCACGUUCCACAGUAACAUGUCCCUCUCUCUGUCCUGGAGCGACUCGGUGGCUCUGAAACCAAUCGUCUGCUACUCCGUCGAACUGAGUGGGCAUAAAAACAGUAUUACGUGUUUUACCUAAACAACGCAUCCCACCAAUUGAUAAGUUUAAAGGAGCCGUUGGAGCCCUAUCAGAUGUAUGACAUCACGCUGCACAUCAGGCCUAACAAAAAUACCUGCAACAUCAAGCGGAUCAACAACAGUGAGAGCACCUACGGGAGCCUGCAGGCCUACUUCAGAGAGGGAACUCCUGUCAGCGCUCCGACCAACAUCUCCAGGUCCAACGUGACCCUGACCUCCAUGGUCCUUACCUGGAGGCCCGUCCCAGUGGAGGACCUCAAGGGACACCUCCUUGGGUACACCCUCCACUACAAGGAGACUGGUCCACAAAACACGAGCACACCCAGAAACACAACGGUGGAUCCCACAGUAGUCUCACAGGAGCUGGUGGGUCUUGAAAGUGGUACAGUGUACACGGUUCAAAUAGCAGCAUUCACCUCCGCAGGAGCGGGGGUGAAAAGCAGUGCAAGCUACUUUGGUACCAGUUCUCAAGGCCUCCCUUUUCUUCAUAAAGCCGUCAAGAACUCCCUGAUAACGUGUUCUGUGUUGAUAGGCAUCAUCCUGUUCGGCUCGCGACUGUUAAAAAGGGCAAAGCGGUCGUUUUGGCCAAAUGUACCAAAUCCAGGUACCAGCAGUGCGAUCCAGAGAAUGGUUAAGUCCUAUGAGCUGGAGCCCCUGAAGCUGACCAUCCUCCGGGAGGAAUGUGACACGUGUACCCUCCACCUGCCCCCCCCGGACCCGCCGCUGGGCCUUCAGUACACCGGGCUCCAGGGCAGCGGACAGCCACUCGGGACCCCCCCCAGCUGUGAGGAACCGCCGCGACGAGACGCCAGCGACGACUCGACCGGCGACACAUUACCCAACGACGAGAGAACCACGACCCCGGACGCGCUCCAGAGCGAUCCGGAGAGCGCUCCCGGUAAGGGGCCCAGCGACUACACCACCAUGGAGCUGUUUCAGCAGGGCAUGCCUCCACCGCCCCCCAGCCUGUAGGACCGAAGGCCACGCAGGCCUUCACGGAGAGGAGAUGAACAAGACUGUACAUGGGAACGGAUCGGGCUACUCCCGGCAAUCUAGCCAGGGUCCAAUGGAGAUCGGCGCUCUGUAGACUGGAUCGAUUGUUCUAGUGUUCUGAACAUGUGAAAAUGAGCCUCCCGCUCACUUCCACUUAGGGUUGUAGCUGUUAGGACGCAAUGAAGAUCUUGAGUACACCGCAAAAAUUCAGCCAGCAGCAUAAAUUAGGUGAAAAACUGAUUCAUUUUUUUUCACGCUUAAAAAAGUGAAAUGGCAAAGCCAAACACAAUACUUUGAUAAACAAAACCAAAAAUCAACCAGAGGGUUGCUCACUUGCAAAGUUCCAUUAACAUGAGAAUCACCGAACAUGAUCCAGCCUCACAGCAAGCCGUCUCUCUAUGCCUCCACCAACCCCCUUGAAAGCAAAAAAAUACCGGGCUUAAAUAAAGCCAACCAAUUAACUAAAUUGGUAGACACCAAAUACCAUGGGGGUUCACCGACUCAAGUACCAUAAUACAUCUUAUAUUUUAUAAUUAAAUCAUAUUCGACCACACACUUCAUUACACAUCUUAACAGUUCGAAUGUUGAUGAGGUUCACUGUUGCAAAAUACCGUAAUAAUUAAACAUAACAAAUAACGUCUCCCCCCUGACAAACAGUCAGGUUCCUGCAUCCCAAUCAGGCAGUGAUUGCAUUUCCAGGUGCCGUGUUGCCCGGGGUUCAAAAUGUUUGGGGACCCAGGAAGUGGGUGUGGCUGUCAGUGUCUGUCUGUGUCAUGCAAAAUGUAUGGGUUAACGGCAGAGAAUGGAUUAUGGGUUAUGGGUUAAGGAUCAAUGUCUCAUGACGAGACGCGGUUGCCGGCACCGUGCGUCAUACUCAGCAUAAACAUGUGUGAAUGCGGGUGUGCGUGUUGAUCAGUUUACGUGUUGCGGGUAGUGUCAUAUGUACGUGAAAAGGAGGGGCUACCUUUUCACAACCACGUACAAAUGGGUAAAGUCGUUGCUGAGAUCUAGCAUAGUAGGGUGACAAUGGGAGCACUGGGGAUUUGACCUUUUCUAUCGUUCAAAUAAACAUAGGCCAAUCAUCUGCAAAGAGCAUGACUUUCACACCAAUACAUGUGCAACCUGGCAGCUAAUGGCACAGAUAGGAGGACCACAAACUGAAAAGGCCAAAUUCGCUUAGGAAGGAGACUGAAUGUCUGGAAGGAUUGAGCGUGUGGAUGGGUAUAAUACCUUAAGACGCUAAAAAUAAAGUAGACACUUCAAUAAUGGUAGAAGUGGUACCAGCAUACAGAAGAGCUUGAGCACAUUCGUUUCCUUAAGAUAUCAGCCAGGGGAUGUGGCGAGGAGCCGCUGUGAUGUACAGCAGAUUAUCUGAAUGAAAAAG
ensembl:lncRNA